GCGGGAUUAGUUAAUCGGCUUAACAUCAGCUUUCCAAGCUGAAUAGAGGGGUCCGACUCCCCUAUCCCGCUCAA
rnacentral:tRNA from 1 species